rnacentral:pre_miRNA from 1 species
AGGAGGAACAACAAUAGUGGCAGAGGCCAAUUCUCCAGUCCUAGAAUCUGUUCCUGCAGUAACUGAGGAGCUCUCCAUCUGCAGGGGCUGGAUCCUCCGGGGGCGG